rnacentral:rRNA from 1 species
CCACACGACUCUCGGCAACGGAUAUCUCGGCUCUCGCAUCGAUGAAGAACGUAGCGAAAUGCGAUACCUGGUGUGAAUUGCAGAAUCCCGCGAACCAUCGAGUCUUUGAACGCAAGUUGCGCCCGAGGCCACCCGGCCGAGGGCACGCCUGCCUGGGCNUCACGC